GUGACAUGGGAUUCUGGAUGUGGGAAAAUUCAGAAAUUCAGUGUUUUGUCUGGGGGGCUUAAUUUGUGUUAUAUGCUUUUCAGCUAUGAACGUGUAAACCUAAAUCCCAAAAGAUAAUGCCUUUUUUCAGCUGUAUUAAUCACAGUUUAGAGAAAAGCAAAGCUUGCCCACCAAUGCUGAGAGAAUUUCACUGUCUAAGAAAUUGCCUCAUGAAGGUGGCUGGCAUGGAGAGGAAUUCAGGCUGUGACAGGCUCAGCAUUAUCUUCAAAAUAUGCAACACCAGUGGGCAAGUAAACACAAGCCAAUGCUGUCUCUUUACUGUUUCACAAUUUUAUUUAUAUAUUUGUGCUUUUCCUUAUUUUUGAGUCAAAUUGAAUGGUACAUCACGCCUCAUCUUUUAAAAUACGGUAGACAAGACGUGCUUAGAAACUUGUAUAUUAACACAACUGCAAUGGACUUCCAGGACUUUGAAGCUCCUGUAUGAAUGUGCUUUAAAGAGCAACUAUUGGCUGGGGAUACAUUUCUAUUUGGGAUUUAUACUGACAUCAAAUGAUGGUACUACAGUUUGGCAGCCUGACGCAGGCA